rnacentral:rRNA from 1 species
UGAGUACAAGAUGCUACUGCAUUGAAGCAGUCUAUGUCAUACUUCCAAGAAAAGCUUGCAAUGUCAUAAACAAAUAAUGCCUGUACCAUAACCGACACAGGUGGGUAGGUAGAGUAUACUAAGGGGCGCGAGAUAACUCUCUCUAAGGAACUCGGCAAAAUGACUCCGUAACUUCGGGAGAAGGAGUACCUUAUUUUAUAAGGUUGCAAUAACAAGGUCCAAGCAACUGUUUACCAAAAACACAGGUCUCCGCUAAGUCGUAAGACGAUGUAUGGGGGCUGACGCCUGCCCAGUGCCAGAAGGUUAAAGAAGUUGGUUAGCAUUAGCGAAGCUGAUAACUGAAGCCCUGGUGAACGGCGGCCGUAACGAUAACGGUCCUAAGGUAGCGAAAUUCCUUGUCGGGUAAGUUCCGACCCGCACGAAAGGCGUAAUGAUUUGGAUACUGUCUCGGAGAGGGGCUCGGUGAAAUAGACUUGUCUGUGAAGAUGCGGACUACCUGCACCUGGACAGAAAGACCCUAUGAAGCUUUACUGUAACUUGAGAUUGAAAUUGGACUUUAUUUGCGCAGUAUAGGUGGGAGACCUCGAAAGUAUUCUUGCGGGAAUAUUGGAGUCAUCAGUGAGAUACCACUCUUAUAAUGUUAGAUUUCUAACUUUGUAUCAUUAUCUGGUCAAAGAACAGUUUCAGGCGGGCAGUCUGACUGGGGCGGUCGCCUCCCAAAUGGUAACGGAGGCGCACAAAGGUUUCCUCUGAACGUGUAGAAAUCGUAUCUAGAGUGUAAAGGCAUAAGGAAGCUUGACUGUGAGACCUACAAGUCGAGCAGGGACGAAAGUCGGUCUUAGUGAUCUGACGGUGCUGAGUGGAAAGGCCGUCACUCAACGGAUAAAAGUUACUCUAAGGAUAACAGGCUGAUCUCCCCCAAGAGUUCACAUCGACGGGGAGGUUUGGCACCUCGAUGUCGGCUCAUCGCAUCCUGGGGCGGUAGUACGUCCCAAGGGUUGGGCUGUUCGCCCAUGAAAGCGGUACGCGAGCUGGGUUCAGAACGUCGUGAGACAGUUCGGUCCAUAUCCGGUGUAGGCGUUAGAAUAUUGAGAGGAGCCUUCUUUAGUACGAGAGGACCGAGAAGGACAUACCUCUGGUGUACCAGUUAUCGUGCCAACGGUAAACGCUGGGUAGCUAUGUAUGGAGAGGAUAACCGCUGAAAGCAUCUAAGUGGGAAGCCCACCUCAAGAUAAGUAUUCC